UACGAAGGGGGCUAGCGUUGUUCGGAAUUACUGGGCGUAAAGCGCACGUAGGCGGAUUUGUAAGUUAGGGGUGAAAUCCCGGGGCUCAACCUCGGAACUGCCUUUGAUACUGCAAGUCUCGAGUCCGAUAGAGGUGAGUGGAAUUCCUAGUGUAGAGGUGAAAUUCGUAGAUAUUCGCAAGAACACCAGUGGCGAAGGCGGCUCACUGGCCCGGUACUGACGCUGAGGAGCGAAAGCGUGGGGAGCGAACGAGGAU
rnacentral:rRNA from 1 species